GAUGAACGCUGGCGGCGUGCCUAAUACAUGCAAGUCGAGCGAACGGACGAGAAGCUUGCUUCUCUGAUGUUAGCGGCGGACGAGUGAGUAACACGUGGAUAACCUACCUAUAAGACUGGGAUAACUUCGGGAAACCGGAGCUAAUACCGGAUAAUAUUUUGAACCGCAUGGUUCAAAAGUGAAAGACGGUCUUGCUGUCACUUAUAGAUGGAUCCGCGCUGCAUUAGCUAGUUGGUAAGGUAACGGCUUACCAAGGCAACGAUGCAUAGCCGACCUGAGAGGGUGAUCGGCCACACUGGAACUGAGACACGGUCCAGACUCCUACGGGAGGCAGCAGUAGGGAAUCUUCAGCAAUGGGCGAAAGCCUGACGGAGCAACGCCGCGUGAGUGAUGAAGGUCUUCGGAUCGUAAAACUCUGUUAUUAGGGAAGAACAUAUGUGUAAGUAACUGUGCACAUCUUGACGGUACCUAAUCAGAAAGCCACGGCUAACUACGUG
rnacentral:rRNA from 1 species